UGGGGAAUAUUGCACAAUGGGCGCAAGCCUGAUGCAGCCAUGCCGCGUGUAUGAAGAAGGCCUUCGGGUUGUAAAGCACUUUCAGCGGGGAGGAAGGCGGUGAGGUUAAUAACCUCAUCGAUUGACGUUACCCGCAGAAGAAGCACCGGCUAACUCCGUGCCAGCAGCCGCGGUAAUACGGAGGGUGCAAGCGUUAAUCGGAAUUACUGGGCGUAAAGCGCACGCAGGCGGUCUGUCAAGUCGGAUGUGAAAUCCCCGGGCUCAACCUGGGAACUGCAUUCGAAACUGGCAGGCUAGAGUCUUGUAGAGGGGGGUAGAAUUCCAGGUGUAGCGGUGAAAUGCGUAGAGAUCUGGAGGAAUACCGGUGGCGAAGGCGGCCCCCUGGACAAAGACUGACGCUCAGGUGCGAAAGCGUGGGGAGCAAACAGG
rnacentral:rRNA from 1 species